rnacentral:rRNA from 1 species
GUGCCAGCCGCCGCGGUAAUACGUAGGGGGCAAGCGUUGUCCGGAUUUACUGGGCGUAAAGAGCGCGUAGGCGGAGAUCUAAGCGUGGCCUGAAAGCCCCCGGCUCAACCGGGGAGUGCGGCUGCGAACUGGGUUUCUUGAGGACGAUAGAGGAGAGUGGAAUUCCUGGUGUAGCGGUGAAAUGCGUAGAUAUCAGGAGGAACACCCGAGGCGAAGGCGGCUCUCUGGGUCGUACCUGACGCUGAGGCGCGAAAGCGUGGGGAGCGAACGGGAUUAGAAACCCCCGUAGUCC